CCUACGGGUGGCAGCAGUGGGGAAUAUUGGACAAUGGGCGAAAGCCUGAUCCAGCCAUGCCGCGUGUGUGAAGAAGGCCUUCGGGUUGUAAAGCACUUUCAGUGGGGAAGAAAGCCUUGGGGCUAAUACCCUCGAGGAAGGACAUCACCCACAGAAGAAGCACCGGCUAACUCCGUGCCAGCAGCCGCGGUAAUACGGAGGGUGCGAGCGUUAAUCGGAAUUACUGGGCGUAAAGCGCGCGUAGGCGGUCUGAUAAGCCGGUUGUGAAAGCCCCGGGCUCAACCUGGGAACGGCAUCCGGAACUGUCAGGCUAGAGUGCAGGAGAGGAAGGUAGAAGUCCCGGUGUAGCGGUGAAAUGCGUAGAGAUCGGGAGGAAUACCAGUGGCGAAGGCGGCCUUCUGGACUGACACUGACGCUGAGGUGCGAAAGCGUGGGUAGCAAACAGGAUUAGAUACCCUGUAGUC
rnacentral:rRNA from 1 species